rnacentral:rRNA from 1 species
UUAGGAAUAUUGGGCAAUGGAGGAAACUCUGACCCAGCAACGCCGCGUGAAGGAAGAAGGUUUUCGGACUGUAAACUUCUGAUCUGAGGGAAAAAGAAAGUGAUGGUACCUCAGGAGAAAGCCACGGCUAACUACGUGCCAGCAGCCGCGGUAAUACGUAGGUGGCGAGCGUUGUCCGGAAUGACUGGGCGUAAAGGGAGCGUAGGUUGCGACUUAAGUUAGAUGUGAAAGCCCGUGGCUCAACCACGGAACUGCAUUUAAAACUGGGUUGCUAGAGUACAGGAGGGGUAAGCGGAAUUUCUAGUGUAGCGGUGGAAUGCUUAGAUAUUAGGAAGAACACCAGAGGCGAAGGCGGCUUACUGGACUGCAACUGACACUGAGGCUCGAAAGCGUGGGGAGCAAACAGG